UGACUGAGCCACCCAGGCACCCCUUUCAAUCAAUGAAUAAUUCUUAUGUGCCCAUCAUGGCCUAAGCUCUGGAUGGGAUGCUGAGGAUACAAUGGAGGACAAGGCAGUCACGGUCCCUGCAGAGCUUAGUGUUUUGUAGACCAGUCAGUAAACUAAGCACCUGCUAAAUGACAGGGCUGUGAUGGCUACCGGUUUACUGAGUAGCAAAUCGGCGUGCUGAGGGAGGAAGGCAUUCGGUGUUAUGGGGGUAAUCAGUGGGUCAAGACCCAGCUUUGGGGAUCCAUUGAGGAAGGCCUCCCAAAGAAAGGGAUAUCUAAAGAGAGACUGAAGGUGAAUAAGCUAAGCCAGACAGCAGGGGUGUGGGUAUAUGCGCAGAGGACAAGGUCAUGUGUGACCUGGCACAGAGCGGUGGAGUUUGAGGUCAUAUCCUUGUGACCCCAUACAUUCCCAACUGUCUGCAGUGAGAUGUGGGGAUAUAGUCCUUGGUGCCUCACCAAACCUGAGCUGACUUCUCGUGGGGCAGGAAGCAUGGUGCUAGAGAACACACAUGCUUCCCACAGUCAGUUUAGAGGCUUGACUUUCUAGCAAUAGAGAGACAUUACAUACUCUUAAAUACUUUGGGUGUAGAGGAGCUCCCUACUAAAAUGCGAGGGCCCUGAGGUGGGUGGCUUUGUCCCUUCAGUACUCAUCACACAAGCAGAAUGUGAAUUGGGUUGGGGGGUGGGAAGAAGGAGUUGGAGGAGGCCCAGAAAAAGAUCAAGGCUAAAGAGGAGGAGGAUUAGGAAUGGACUAGAGAAGUGGGUGGAGAUUGGAGACAGUCUCUGCUUUGCUUAUUCACAACUUUGCCACAGGCAGGCCUGGGCCCCUGGGUUUGAUCCAGACUCUCAGGACUGAGGGUGGCACAUCGUUUGCCCUGUUCUAGUUGGGUUUCUGCCAGAUACUAGUGGUUUCCAAUAGUUAGACUGUUCCAGAGGUAGUCUUGGCUCCUGUGGGAAUUACCAGAGAAUUCCACUGCUGUGAAUCUGGAAGAGUUUAUAUAAUUUCCCCUGGGAUGGCAGACACUUUUUUUGUUUCUUCUGGUGGAAGCUAAAAUGUCAAAAUACCGGCCCCCCCACCCCCCGUUUAUAAAGUACCUUGCUUAUUUGGUGUUUAAGUUUCCUUUACCAUUUCAAAAAUUCCGUUUAUUUAAAGUAAAAAAUCCAACGGAACAGUUCACUUACAUUGAGCCCCACGUCAGGCAUCCCAACUUUUAAGACAUACACUUGAGAGAUAAGCCUACAAAAUGUUAACUUUGAAAACCGACAGAGCUCAUAUCCCAAGCCCCACAAGCCUGUAGGGAGCCCAGGAACCGCUGUUAAAGGCCUGGAGGGUUCAGGCUCAUCAGCUUCUGGGCCCAGCUCGGGAAUGGUCGAUGCACCCAGACUUAACGUGAGGGAGGUUCACCUGUUUAUAUGAAGGCAUCUGUGGGAGCCACAGUAUCUCCUGGAAAGGAGCUUUUACACACACGAGACCCUGAUUUUUGCUGCUGUGGCCUAGGGAGUCUCUUCAUCACUUGGCUCUGGAGACCAGCUUGCAGUCCCUGUCCUGUUGGACUCUAAUAAUUGGUGUCACCCAGAAAGGAGCUCAUAGUUGUUAUCUGGUACCCUGAGUUUUGUGGCGGCUGCCAGGGGUGCCUCUACAUUGCCGGGUUCUGGUGGCCAGUAGGACUUAUAUGCUGGGUGCACAGGAUUAUAACCGAAGGUGGCAGAGUUCCUAAACAGCUGCCACCCCUGGGGCCCAGCAAGACCCAGGAGUUCAGUCUUUCUAAGAAAGAGACCAGCUGAUCAUCAUCAGGCUGAGACCUGAGGAGCAGACUUCUAAUUAAACACGCAUCUAGGGACUGACUGCGAUCCUCUCCAGAGACGUUGGAAGGCAGGCUCUACCUUUAGGCUCCCUCUCUGCUGCAGUCCAGAGCACCAUUGUCUCCUUGAGGGUACCUGUGUCUGGUGCCCGUUUGGGUGGUUGCUGCCAGGGGUCCCUUUACCUUGCUUGGCUCUGGAGGCCACUGAGACCUAUGUUUGUGAUCCCACAGGGCUAUAUGUAUUUGCAUACUUGUAAAAACUGAUGCCUGAGGGUCUGGCUUCUAGUAAGUCUGAAUCUGACUGCUGAGAUCCUCCUCUUUGGGACACUUCAAGUCUUGGUACAUCCUUAACUACAGGGAGCCCUUAAACCUGUAAUUGGCUGCUUGGACAAGUGCCAAGGAUUGAGCAACAAGUUUCAUCCCCUACACAAGGCCACUCUUUAAGACUAGGAGAAGGCACAUUUUCAUCUACUAUAUAGAAACCAACACAGAGAGUCAAACAAAACAAAAACAAACAAAAAUAAAACAGAGGAAUAUGUUCCAAAGGGAAGAACAAAAUAAAACCUCAGAAAAAGCUUUAAUGAAAUGGCGAUAAGUAAUUUAUGCUUAUCUUUGAUAAAGAAUUCAAAGUAAUGGCCAUAGGGAUGCUCACCAAAUGAGGGAAGAAUGGAUGAUGACAGUGAGAACUUCAACAAAGAGAUGGAAAAAUAAGAAAGUACCAAACAGAAGUCACAGAGCUGAAGAAUACAAUAAUGCAACUGAAAUAUACACCAGCGGGGGAUGUGACAGCUGACCAUGUGAAGCAGAAGAAAGGAUCAGUCAACUCAAAAAUGAGUGGCACUCAAUCAAACAGAGCAGGAAAAAAAAAAAAGUGAAAAAGAGUGGAGAUCACUUAAGAGACAUCAAAUGGACUAACAUUCUCAUCAUCGGUCUCCCAGAUGGAGGAAAGAGAGAGAAAGGGGACAGAAAUCUUAAUUGAAGAAAUAAUGGUUGAAACUUCUUUACUUGGGGUAGGAAAUAGACAUCUAGAUCAUGGAGCCCAGAGUGUUCCAGAUAAAAGGACUGCAGAGAGACCCACACCAAGACACAAUCAAAAUGUCAGAAGUUAAAGACACAAUGACAGUCGAGGCACAAGAGAAAAAAGAAAAAAAGAGUGCUACAAGGGAAUCUUCCUAAAAUCAUCAGACUUUACAGCCGAAAUUUUGCAGGCCAGAAGAAAGUGGCAUGAUAUAAUCAAAGUACUGAAAGAAGAAAAGCUUCCAAACAAGAAUACUCUGCCUAGAAAAGUUAUCAUUCAGCAGUGAAGGAGAAAUGAAGUGUUCUCCAGAAAACAAAAGCUAAAAAAAAAAUAAAGUAAAAUAAGAAACAAAAACAACAACAAAAGCAAAAGCUAAAGGAGUUCACCAACAAACUGGCCUUAUGAGAAAUGUUAAAGGGCUCUCCUAAAGCUGAAAAGAAAGGGUGCAAAUUAGUAAUAAGAACACACAUGAAAUCGUAAGCCAGCUACUUUACCAGAAACAACCAGGAAAAGACAGCUAAGAAGAGCUCACCUGGGGUCAGAGCAUACCUCAAACAUGGAUCUCAAGAAACUACCCUACAAAAGAGUAUGAGUUUAAUGGGAUCAGACUGGGGAGCUGUCUUUGCCCCAGGACAUUAUCUAAAACCAUAGAGUAAUUAACUGGCAAUUCAUGGUGCCUAAAGUUGGUUGCAGCAUAGGGAAUUGUCAGAGAGCUCUGCUUAGAGACUCGUUCCAGGGUGACCACGUGCUUGUCCGAGCUAUAUUGGAUUGUAUUAGACCAGAUGAUAACUCAGAUAAAGUUGAGUCCACAGGACAAAUGAAAAGAACCAGAAAUGACAAAUACAAGGUAAAUAUAACAAAAGCUAUAAAUAUAUAUUUGCUUUAUUUUCUUUUCUCAGCUCCUUUAAAAGACAUUGAAUUAUAUAAAGUAAUAAUUAUAGCAAUGUACUAUUGGGUUUGUAACAUAGCUAUAGAUGUAAUAGGUGUAAAAAUAAUAGCACAAGGGGGAGAAGAGAAUAGUUGCGGAGAAUGGACAUUUCUAUAUCUCAUUGUAAUUAGGUUUUUAUAUCUAAAGUAGAUUCUAAUGAGUUAAGACAUACAGCAUAAGCCUUAGUGCAAGGACUAAAGAAAUAACUAAAAAAAUACACAGUGAAAAAAAUCACUAAGGAACUGAAAAUACAACACUAGAAAACAUUCACUUAAUGCCAAAGAAAGCAGGAAAGGAAGACUAGAGAGACAAAAAAGGCAGAAGGAAAAUGUCACCAGCUGGGAAUCUGGCUGAGCACACAGAAACCAAAGGCGACAAAAAUGGUCUCUGAAAGAGUAAAUAUAUAAGACCUUUUCUUCUUAUUACUUAAAACAUUAAAAAAUGUAACUGACUUCUUAAGCAAAGACAGUCACAUUGUAUUGUGGGGUUGAUAACGUGUGCAUAAAUACAACACAUAAUGAUAACUGCAUGUAUGAUAUAGGCCAUGAGGAGAGAAAUGUAUGUCCAUUGUUUUAAGGUUCUUCUAUUACACUUGAAGUGGUGAAAUAUCACUUGAUGGUAGACUAUGAUAUAUUAAAGAGUGUGCUGUAAGGGUCAAUUCCAGUGCACUAGGAAUUAAUCUGAGCCAUUUUGCUAAAGUUUCUGCAUAGUAAAGGCAUGACCCCUAGUAAAGGAAUGAAACAUACCCAUUCAUAGUAUUGCCUUGAAACCUAGGGUCCAAGAAAUUUGGGAGCGAUUUUUACAACUUUCCAGCAUCAUUUAUUGAGACUACUGGAGGAGUCUAUUGCUGUGUAGCAAGAACAUGGCUAUAUGACUGGACAAGGUGCCAUUUGGGGCUACUUGGUUCUGAAAUGUUCUGUACACACAAAAGGGGUUCCUGAUCCAAGACACACAUUUCAUUUGGCCAUGGCCCUUAUAGAAAAGGGAGGCAAUAGAGGACUCCUUCUGACAUUUUCAGACCCCCCAUUGUGAGAUAGCCUUUGGUUGUGAUGCAUAUUUUUACUUUAAUGCUGUUAUGUAUAUAUUAUAAUGUUUUAUACCUUUUCCUUUAGCUUGUAAGCAUGGCCAUUUUGAGUCCCACAAGUCUUAAUCUUUAGCAAUUGACUCUUCAACUUCCAUACUCUAAACCCUAAAGCAACACAAAACUACCAAAGCAAAGAGUUAAAUGAGCCAACAAAGUUCAUAGAAUGGAGUCAUAAAAAGUAAUAAUCACGCUAAUCCCAAAGCAGGCUGAUAAAAGAGAAAAAAAAAAAAAAGAACCCAGAACAGAGGAGACAAAAAGAAACAAAUAGAAAGAUGAUAGACUCAAACAUCAUCAUGUUAAUGGUCAUAUUAAAGAUAAUUUGUAUAAAAACUGCAGUCUAAAAUACAGAGAUAGUCAAAUUGUGUAAAAAAACAAUACCCACGUAUAUCCUGCCUACAGGAAAUGCAUCUUAAAUGUAAAGACACAAAUGGGUUAAAAGGAUAGAAAAAUAGACCACACUGACACUAACCAAGAGACUGUUGGAGUGACUAUAUUUAUAUCAGAUAAAUUAUAUGUCAGAGCAAAGAAUAUUGCCAAGAGUAAAGAAGGUCAUUUCACAAUCACAUAGGGGUCACUUAAUCAAACAAUUCUAACAAUAACAAAUGAGUAUAACAAAUGUUCAUGCACAUAAUAGCAAAACUUUAAAAUAAAUGGAGAAGAAAAAACAACAAAGAGAAAUAGACAAAUACACAAUUAUAGCCAGAGACUUUUAGAAAAUGCUCCCUCCAUAGCUAAUGGAACUAAUAGCAGAUCAGCAGAAAUAUAGUAGACUUGAACACCUCUAGCAAUGCUUGCCCAGACUGACGUCUUGAAAAAACCUCCACCCAGCAACAGCGAGAUACACAUUGUUCUCAAGUAUACUGAAUUUACCAAGAUAGAACAUUUUGUGGCUCAUAAAACAAGUCUCAGUAAGUUUAAAUGGAUUCAAGUAAUAUAAAGUGUAUCCUUUAGGUGGAGGGACCUGUUACUACCAACUGUUGGAUUUCAUGGUCAAAGCCAAACUGGCGAAUGAAAGGGCUAACCUCCGGCAACAAAAACCUAGCCUGUCUCACGACUUCUAGUUUCAGCUUCAACAAACAAAGAGCUUAGAGGUUGUCACUCCUGACUUUAAAACAAGGAAAAAAGCUGAACAAACUGGGAACCAGUGACUUUUCUUGAUCCCAUCAGAAAACUGAGAUUGCAGGACAAACCAGCAUGCUCCAAUCUGGACAGAUAGGUGAUCACAGAGCGCCGAGUGCCAAGGUCAGCUUACCUGCAGCAGAAGCUGCUGGAACCCCUAACUGAUAGGAACACUCAGAUGGCAAUUUUGAUAAGUUGCUGGAGGCAAUGUGUGGACUACAGGGAGAAUGAGACUGUCCUGAGUGCUGGCGUCAUGAGGUCAGGGGUCAGGCUUUUACAGGUUUCGCCUCCAAGAGCCCCACUAGGUUCUCAUGGGGAAGGGUCAAGAGAAAAAUCACCUUCUGUCUCUGGCAGGUAGAAGGGGGAAAGCAGCCAUUCUGAACCCAGUAACCAUAAGUAACCAUGAUGCCCAGAGUGUUCUUCAUUACAAAACCCUAGUCUCCAGUGAAAAAGACUUUCCAGAGCCUCGUCUCCCCUGGGGGAAGGGCACUUCGUGGUCUCCAUCCCUCCAGUUAAUGAGGACUGUGUCAGGAAGGGUAGAUUGAAGCUUUUGUUCUCAGGUUUGGUAGAGGGAUCAGAAAAGCAUGUUCUGCUACUGCACUCCUUAGUGAGUCUCGAAAGAAGCGAUAUUUCCAAGUUUCCUGCACCCAAUGCUGUAGAACAAUUAUGCAAGCAACAUGUGUUUUUACAGAAUAACUGUAAAUGCAGAUAAAUAAAAAAUGAAAAACACCCCAAAUUCUACCACCCAGAGAUUACCACGUCAGCAUCUUGUUGUAUAUCAGACCUGACACUUUCAUUUGCAGGUGCAGACAUGUAUGUUUUAUGAAAAUGGUGUCCUAUUCUAUACAAUGUUUUGUAUUCCUUCGGAAAUGUAUCCAUCUAUUGUGAGCAUUUCAAGUCAGUAUACAUCUAUACAACGUUCCUAAUGGCUGCGUGAUAUCCUACCAUCCUUCGAUUGUUGGAUCUACUGCAAUUGCUUCAGAGAGCCAUGGACACAAUAAUGCUAUGUAGCAGCCACAAAAUUGCAGUGGCACACAAGAAUAAUCAUUUGUUCAGUUUACAAGAUUGCAGGCGUUCAGCUGAUCCCAGCUCACUCACACCUUGGCAGUCAGCUGCCUGUCGGCUAAGCAACCCUCAUUUUGACUUGUUCCUGUGUCUGGACAGGCUGGCCACUGGCUUCUUUAGGAGGCUCACCGUUGGGACAACCGGGGUGAUUCUGUCCUGUUCCAGGUGAGUGAUCCUCCAGGAGGCUAGCCCCGGCGUGUUCUCAUGGCUAUUCAGAGGAGCCACAGCCAAGAGGAAAUGGGCAAGCACUUUCGUAAGCCUCUGAUUGUGGCAUAUUUGCUCUCAUCCUGGUGGCCAAAGCGAACCACGGGGCCAACUGCACAGAGGGAGGAGGGUAGAGGGCGGCAUAAUUGGGUGAUGGGCAUUAAGGAGGCCAUAGGAUGUGAUGAGCACUGGGUGUUAUACGCAACUGACAAAUUAAUGGAACACGACAUCUAAACUAAUGGUGUACUAUAUGUUGGUUAAUUGAAUUUAAGUAAAAAAUAAAAUAUACUUGCUGCUUAAAAAAACCAAAACCAAAAACAAAUGUCUUUGAGUGUUAGCUUAUUAUUCUGUGGAACAAACCCCUACAAGUAAAAUUGCUAGGUAUAUCCUUUUCUGAAGACUCUGAAGUUAAACUACCAGCUUGCUCUCCAGAAGAGGCUUUCCAUUCCCAUUAAUGGCAAGUGACAGUGCAGAUUUCUCUAUGACUAUGAUGUAUAGAAAAAAUAUUGUGCAAACUCUGGACGUUCUAGGGGUCUGUGGUUAAGUUGUAUGAUGUGCCCUCAAAGGUUCACAAACAUAAACCAGGAAAAAUAAGGUCUUCUUGGGAGUUGCAGGAUAGGUAUCCCAGUGUGGUCCUUUGGAAAUGCACACCCUAUUCCUUCCUUAAAAAGGAUUGGAAAAUCUUGAAACGAAUGAACAAAAAGAAACACCCACAAACAACAGCAACAACAACAACAGAAGUAUUGGAAAGACUCUAGACAAUGUGGAGGGACAAAGAGGGUCAACAUAGUUCCUGGUUUUCAUGGAACCAGGUUCCAUGAAAUCUUGGUUCACCCAGUUGUCUUGGUUUACCAAUUAAGCAAACUCCCCUUUCACUCGCAGAAGAUUUCCAUUUUGGACUACAGAUUUUACAAUGCCCAGGGAAAAGUCACCUUAACAAAAAUCAUUCCCUUUGAUUUCAAGCUCCUUCCUUCAUACAGUCCACGAUGUUUUAAGUUCUGUGUUUUGGUGGUUUUGUUAUGUGUCAGACAUUGUCUUAGGCACUGAUGAUCCAGUAGUGAACAAAAUCAGACAUAGUCCCUGCUUUCGGUCUGAAAUGUUUCAGGGGAGAACUAGUGAUGGUUUAAUCACAGAAAUCAAUGCAGAAGUGCAGCAGUGGUGAAGGUUACAAGGGAGAAGUGCACGAUUCUAAGAGCAUUUAUGUAACAGGAAGAUUUGAUCUUCUUGCAGAAGGCAGGGACGAAUCCAAGGGGAAGUAAUGCUUUAGCUGAGAUCGGAAGGAUACUUUGAAUUUACCCAGGGGGAAGGAUCAAGUGAGAGCAUGUAAGAAGACUGACAAAAAGGAAGCAGGUACAGACAAGAAUGUGAAAGACGUUUCCUGUAGCCGCAGUGGAGAGGAUCAGGGGAACUUGGAGUGAGAUCAGAAUGGAGACCCCACCCAGCAUCCCCUACACUUCUGUUCCUUCCCAACAGAAUCCCCAUUUUGUUCAGGAAUGCAGACAACCCCCAACACAGUGCUCUGCCUUCGGGGACACUAACUUCACUCCCAGUCUAAAGGGGUCACUCCCUUAGACUUGUGCCCUGAUUCUUGCAACUGAGAAGAUAAGGAAAGCUUCCCGUGGACUUCCAAGGAAAGUUACCUUGCUCCUAAGAGUGAGUCAAAAGAAAAGAUGGUCCUUAAUUGUUCCUCUGAGUUUUGUCAAAUCUAGAUGGGAAGUGGGGGGCAGCUGCAGUCGUCUCCUCCUCCUGAAGAUGGAGCCGGCUCCAAGGAUGGUGGAGCGCACACAUGAGAACCUUUCCCCUUGAUAAAGGCUGAGGUGCCGAAUCAAUGUUCCCCGAAGGCCACUCUACCGCAGGACUUCCGGUUACGUGGGACCCUGUGAGUCGCCUGGAUGUCAAAGAAUUAAGCCUGUCCUGAAUGAACGGAAGUAACAGGAGUACGGAGGGAAUUUCUUUCUCUUUUCCUGGUCUCCACCGUGAUUCUCUGAUUUGAAUUUGCAGUGGCAGAAAAGAAAGGAGAGGCGAGGCACAGAACGGAAAUCGUCAAAGAAAAGCAUCCCAUCUAGUGCCUUCGAUUCUGGCUGAUCAUUGGGAAAGCCUCCGGGGGGGGCCACUGGGGGAAUGAGUAUGACAACAGAUGAAGAGGCUUUGAUAGAUUAGUAAGGGAUUUCAUAAGCUGGAGUAUUAUUAGCUUUGGAGAUUGCAAAAGGCUAGGAGUCCAAAUGAACAAUUUUCCAACAUAAUUUGAACAUUUAUUUCACCGAAGUUAUUAUUCACAACACAAAUCCUCCCCGUUUUCUGAAAGUCGAAGGAUACGGUUGCCUGUGUUUGUUGCUGUUUUUAUUUUAUUUUUUCCCUCUCACUCCAAUAAAUGCU